UACGAAGGGUGCAAGCGUUAAUCGGAAUUACUGGGCGUAAAGCGUGCGUAGGCGGUUUCUUAAGUCUGCUGUGAAAGCCCCGGGCUCAACCUGGGAAUGGCGGUGGAUACUGAGAAGCUGGAGUACGGUAGAGGAAGGUGGAAUUCCCGGUGUAGCGGUGAAAUGCAUAGAUAUCGUCAAGAACACCGGUAGCGAAGGCAGCUUACUGGGCUGUAACUGACGCUGAUGCACGAAAGUGUGGGGAUCAAACAGG
rnacentral:rRNA from 1 species